rnacentral:rRNA from 1 species
UACGAAGGGGGCUAGCGUUGUUCGGAUUUACUGGGCGUAAAGCGCACGUAGGCGGAUGUGCCAGUCAGGGGUGAAAUCCCGGAGCUCAACUCCGGAACUGCCUCUGAUACAGCACGUCUUGAGUUCGAGAGAGGUGGGUGGAAUUCCUAGUGUAGAGGUGAAAUUCGUAGAUAUUAGGAAGAACACCGGUGGCGAAGGCGGCCCACUGGCUCGAUACUGACGCUGAGGUGCGAAAGCGUGGG